rnacentral:rRNA from 1 species
CUUGCUUCUCUUGAGAGCGGCGGACGGGUGAGUAAUGCCUAGGAAUCUGCCUGGUAGUGGGGGAUAACGUUCGGAAACGGACGCUAAUACCGCAUACGUCCUACGGGAGAAAGCAGGGGACCUUCGGGCCUUGCGCUAUCAGAUGAGCCUAGGUCGGAUUAGCUAGUUGGUGGGGUAAUGGCUCACCAAGGCGACGAUCCGUAACUGGUCUGAGAGGAUGAUCAGUCACACUGGAACUGAGACACGGUCCAGACUCCUACGGGAGGCAGCAGUGGGGAAUAUUGGACAAUGGGCGAAAGCCUGAUCCAGCCAUGCCGCGUGUGUGAAGAAGGUCUUCGGAUUGUAAAGCACUUUAAGUUGGGAGGAAGGGUUGUAGAUUAAUACUCUGCAAUUUUGACGUUACCGACAGAAUAAGCACCGGCUAACUCUGUGCCAGCAGCCGCGGUAAUACAGAGGGUGCAAGCGUUAAUCGGAAUUACUGGGCGUAAAGCGCGCGUAGGUGGUUUGUUAAGUUGGAUGUGAAAUCCCCGGGCUCAACCUGGGAACUGCAUUCAAAACUGACUGACUAGAGUAUGGUAGAGGGUGGUGGAAUUUCCUGUGUAGCGGUGAAAUGCGUAGAUAUAGGAAGGAACACCAGUGGCGAAGGCGACCACCUGGACUAAUACUGACACUGA